CUUAUAGCUUAGUCGGUAGAGCGUCGCGCUAAUAACGCGAAGGUCGGGGGUUCGAUCCCCCCUGGGA
rnacentral:tRNA from 1 species